rnacentral:rRNA from 1 species
GUCGAACGGCAGCACGGGGGCAACCCUGGUGGCGAGUGGCGAACGGGUGAGUAAUACAUCGGAACGUGUCCUGUAGUGGGGGAUAGCCCGGCGAAAGCCGGAUUAAUACCGCAUACGACCUAAGGGAGAAAGCGGGGGAUCUUCGGACCUCGCGCUAUAGGGGCGGCCGAUGGCAGAUUAGCUAGUUGGUGGGGUAAAGGCCUACCAAGGCGACGAUCUGUAGCUGGUCUGAGAGGACGACCAGCCACACUGGGACUGAGACACGGCCCAGACUCCUACGGGAGGCAGCAGUGGGGAAUUUUGGACAAUGGGGGAAACCCUGAUCCAGCAAUGCCGCGUGUGUGAAGAAGGCCUUCGGGUUGUAAAGCACUUUUGUCCGGAAAGAAAACCUCUUGGAUAAUACCUGAGGGGGAUGACGGUACCGGAAGAAUAAGCACCGGCUAACUACGUGCCAGCAGCCGCGGUAAUACGUAGGUGCGAGCGUUAAUCGGAAUUACUGGG